AUUGAACGCUGGCGGCAGGCCUAACACAUGCAAGUCGAACGAGUGGCGGACGGGUGAGUAAUGUCUGGGAAACUGCCCGAUGGCGGGGGCUCACUACUGGAAACGGUCGCUAAUACCGCAUACCCUCGUAUGUGCCCAGAUGGGAUUAGCUCGUGGGUGGGGUAACGGCUCACCUAGGCGACGAUCCCUAGCUGGUCUGAGAGGAUGACCAGCCACACGGGAACGGAGACACGGUCCAGACUCCUACGGGAGGCAGCAGUGGGGAAUAUUGCACAAUGGGCGAAAGCCUGAGGCAGCAAUGCCGCGUGUAGGAAGAAGGCCUUCGGGUUGUAAAGUACUUUCAGCGGGGAGGCGGUACUCGCAGAAGAAGCACCGGCUAACUCCGUGCCAGCAGCCGCGGUAAUUC
rnacentral:rRNA from 1 species